rnacentral:ncRNA from 12 species
UCCGUCCGGGUCCGUGGUUGCGCCGGUCGGGAGAGCACGGGCUCGGGUCAACGCCUGGUUGUGCAGCCCUCCGGCAAGCCGAUGCCAGUCGCAGGCGAAACGGUCCACGUAAUCCUCGUCCGCGGGGAGAUCACGGUGCGGCUUAGGGGUAAGUCCUGCCGGCCACACGCCGUCCGACACGGCGUCAGGGUCGAGAAGGCGGGUAGUGGCGGAGAAGCUGCGAGAGCCUCAGCAGGCGGUUGUGGGGUCGAAGACCAGGUCGGCCGGACGGA